UACGUAGGGGGCAAGCGUUGUCCGGAUUUAUUGGGCGUAAAGGGCGCGUAGGCGGCUCGGCACGUCCGUUGUGAAAUCGCCCGGCUCAACCGGGGAGGGUCGUCGGGGACUGGGUGGCUUGAGGACGGCAGGGGCUGGUGGAAUCCCCGGUGUAGUGGUGAAAUGCGUAGAGAUCGGGGGGAACACCGGUGGCGAAGGCGGUUCUCUGGGCAUUACCUGACGCUGAGGAGCGAAAGUGUGGGGAGCGAACAGG
rnacentral:rRNA from 1 species